rnacentral:tRNA from 1 species
GGGGAUUUAGCUCAGCAGCAUAGCACCUGCCUGGCAAGCAGGAGGUCUUGACUUUCAUCCCCG